rnacentral:rRNA from 1 species
UACGGAGGGAGCUAGCGUUGUUCGGAAUUACUGGGCGUAAAGGGUGCGUAGGCGGCGCGGUAAGUCGGGUGUGAAAUCUCGGGGCUUAACUCCGAAACUGCAUUCGAUACUGCCGUGCUUGAGGACUGGAGAGGAGACUGGAAUUUACGGUGUAGCGGUGAAAUGCGUAGAUAUCGUAAGGAAGACCAGUGGCGAAGGCGGGUCUCUGGACAGUUCCUGACGCUGAGGCACGGAAGGCCCAGGGGGAGCAAAACGGGG